AUACGUAGGUGGCAAGCGUUGUCCGGAAUUAUUGGGCGUAAAGCGCAUGUAGGCGGUGCCUUAAGUCUGUCGUGAAACUGCGGGGCCUAACCCCGUAUGGCGAUGGAAACUGUGGCACUUGAGUGCAGGAGAGGAAAGGGGAACUCCCAGUGUAGCGGUGAAAUGCGUAGAUAUUGGGAAGAACACCGGUGGCGAAGGCGCCUUUCUGGACUGUGUCUGACGCUGAGAGGCGAAAGCCAGGGUAGCGAACGGGAUUAGAUACCCCGGUAGUCCUGGCCGUAAACGAUGGGUACUAGGUGUGGGAGGUAUCGACCCCUUCCGUGCCGGAGUUAACGCAAUAAGUACCCCGCCUGGGGAGUACGGCCGCAAGGCUUAAACUCAAAUGAAUUGACGGGG
rnacentral:rRNA from 1 species